rnacentral:rRNA from 1 species
AUACGUAGGUGACAAGCGUUAUCCGGAUUUACUGGGCGUAAAGGGCGUGUAGGCGGUCUUGCAAGUCAGAAGUGAAAUUCCUGAGCUCAACUCGGGCGCUGCUUCUGAAACUGCAGGUCUUGAGUGCUGGAGGGGAUAGCGGAAUUCCCAGUGGAGCGGUAAAAUGCGCAGAUAUUAGGAAGAACACCGGUGGCGAAGGCGGCUAUCUGGACAGUAACUGACGCUGAGGCGCGAAAGCGUGGGGAGCAAGCAGGAUUAGAUACCCUGGGAGUCCACGCCGUAAACGAUGAAUACUAGGUGUAGGGGGUAUCGACUCCCUCUGUGCCGCAGUUAACACAAUAAGUAUUCCGCCUGGGGAGUACGGCCGCAAGGUUGAAACUCAAAUGAAUUGACGGGG